GACGAACGCUGGCGGCGUGCCUAAUACAUGCAAGUCGAACGCAGUGGGGACGGGUGAGUAACACGUGGGUAACCUCCCAUCAGAGGGGAUAACACUUGGAAACAGGUGCUAAACCGAUACUGAUGGAUGGACCCGCGGUGCAUUAGCUAGUUGGUGAGGUAACGGCUCACCAAGGCCACGAUGCAUCGCUGACCUGCGAGGGGGAUCGGUCACACGGGGACUGAGAAACGGCCCAGACUCCUACGUGAGGCAGAAGUAGGUAAGCUGCGGCAAUGGACGAAAGUCUGACCUAGCAACGCCGCGUGAGUGAAGAAGGUUUUCGGAUCGUAAAACUAUGUUGUUAGAGAAGCGGUAUCUAACCAGAAAGCAACGGCUAACUACGUGCCAGCCGCCGCGGUAAUUC
rnacentral:rRNA from 1 species